AGUGAACGCUGGCGGUAGGCCUAACACAUGCAAGUCGAACGGCAGCACAGUAAGAGCUUGCUCUUACGGGUGGCGAGUGGCGGACGGGUGAGGAAUACAUCGGAAUCUACUUUUUCGUGGGGGAUAACGUAGGGAAACUUACGCUAAUACCGCAUACGACCUACGGGUGAAAGCAGGGGAUCUUCGGACCUUGCGCGAUUGAAUGAGCCGAUGUCGGAUUAGCUAGUUGGCGGGGUAAAGGCCCACCAAGGCGACGAUCCGUAGCUGGUCUGAGAGGAUGAUCAGCCACACUGGAACGGAGACACGGUCCAGACUCCUACGGGAGGCAGCAGGGGGGAAUAUUGGACAAUGGGCGCAAGCCUGAUCCAGCCAGACCGCGUGGGUGAAGAAGGCCUUCGGGUUGUAAAGCCCUUUUGUUGGGAAAGAAAAGCAGCAGGUUAAUACCCCGCUGUUCUGACGGUACCCAAAGAAUAAGCACCGGCUAACUUCGUG
rnacentral:rRNA from 1 species